UGGUUAAGCUACUAAGAGCACACGGAGGAUGCCUAGGCGCUAGGAGCCGAUGAAGGACGUGGCGAACAACGAAACUGCCUCGGGGAGCUGUAAGCAAGCUU
rnacentral:rRNA from 1 species